rnacentral:rRNA from 1 species
UGCGUAGGGUGCAAGCGUUAAUCGGAAUUACUGGGCGUAAAGCGUGCGCAGGCGGUUAUGUAAGACAGAUGUGAAAUGCCCGGGCUUAACCUGGGAACUGCAUUUGUGACUGCAUGGCUAGAGUUUGGCAGAGGGGGGUAGAAUUCCACGUGUAGCAGUGAAAUGCGUAGAUAUGUGGAGGAACACCGAUGGCGAAGGCAGCCCCCUGGGUCAAGACUGACGCUCAUGCACGAAAGCGUGGGGAGCAAACAGG